UUGAUCCUGCCAGUAGUCAUAUGCUUGUCUCAAAGAUUAAGCCAUGCAUGUCUCAGUACAAGCCACAUUAAGGUGAAACCGCGAAAGGCUCAUUAAAUCAGUUAUGGUUCCUUAGAUCGUACCCACAUUUACUUGGAUAACUGUGGUAAUUCUAGAGCUAAUACAUGCAAACAGAGUUCCGACCGGAGACGGGAGGAAUGCUUUUAUUAGAUCAAAACCAAUCGGCGGCGGGUGCGCUCGCGCGCCCGUUCGCCGCUCAACCUGGUGACUCUGAAUAACUUUCGGCUGAUCGCACGGUCCAGCACCGGCGACGCAUCUUUCAAAUGUCUGCCUUAUCAACUGUCGAUGGUAGGUUCUGCGCCUACCAUGGUCGUAACGGGUAACGGGGAAUCAGGGUUCGAUUCCGGAGAGGGAGCCUGAGAAACGGCUACCACAUCCAAGGAAGGCAGCAGGCGCGCAAAUUACCCACUCCCGGCACGGGGAGGUAGUGACGAAAAAUAACGAUACGGGACUCAUCCGAGGCCCCGUAAUCGGAAUGAGUACACUUUAAAUCCUUUAACGAGGAUCAAUUGGAGGGCAAGUCUGGUGCCAGCAGCCGCGGUAAUUCCAGCUCCAAUAGCGUAUAUU
rnacentral:rRNA from 1 species